rnacentral:rRNA from 1 species
ACGUAGGUGGCGAGCGUUAUCCGGAUUUACUGGGCGUAAAGCGUGUGCAGGCGGGGUGGUACGUGGUGUAUGAAAUCUCCCAGCUUAACUGGGAGGGGUUAUGCCAGACUGCCAUUCUAGAGUGCGAGAGAGGAGCGUGGAAUUCCGGGUGUAGUGGUGAAAUGCGUAGAGAUCCGGAGGAACCCCAGAGGCGAAGGCGGCGCUCUGGCUCGCAACUGACGCUCAGACACGACAGCAUGGGGAGCGAACGGG